rnacentral:rRNA from 1 species
UACGUAGGGAGCAAGCGUUGUCCGGAAUCAUUGGGCGUAAAGCGCGCGUAGGCGGCCCUGUAAGUCCGUUGUGAAAGUCAAAGGCUCAACCUUUGAAAGCUGAUGGAUACUGCAGGGCUAGAGUCCGGAAGAGGCGAGUGGAAUUCCUGGUGUAGCGGUGGAAUGCGCAGAUAUCAGGAGGAACACCAAUAGCGAAGGCAGCUCGCUGGGACGGUACUGACGCUAAGGCGCGAAAGCGUGGGGAGCGAACAGG